GGAAAAGGAACUAACAAGGAUUCCCCUAGUAACUGCGAGUGAAGCGGGAAAAGCUCAAAUUUAAAAUCUGGUAGUCUCUGGCUGCCCGAGUUGUAAUCUAGAGAAGUGUUAUCCGCGCUGGACCGUGUAUAAGUCUCCUGGAAUGGAGCGUCAUAGAGGGUGAGAAUCCCGUCUUUGACACGGACUACCAGGGCUUUGUGAUGCGCUCUCAAAGAGUCGAGUUGUUUGGGAAUGCAGCUCUAAAUGGGUGGUAAAUUCCAUCUAAAGCUAAAUAUUGGCGAGAGACCGAUAGCGAACAAGUACCGUGAGGGAAAGAUGAAAAGAACUUUGGAAAGAGAGUUAAACAGUACGUGAAAUUGUUGAAAGGGAAACGCUUGAAGUCAGUCGCGUUGGCUAGGAAUCAGCCUUGCUUUUGCUUGGUGUACUUCCUUGUUGACGGGUCAGCAUCAAUUUUGACCGGUGGAAAAAGACUAGUGGAAUGUGGCAUCUUCGGAUGUGUUAUAGCUGCUAGUUGUAUACAUCGGUUGGGAUUGAGGAACUCAGCACGCCGAAAGGUCGGGGUUCGCCCACGUUCGUGCUUAGGAUGCUGGCAUAAUGGCUUUAAUCGACCCGUCUUGAAACACGGACCAAGGAGUCUAACAUGCCUGCGAGUGUUUGGGUGGAAAACCCGAGCGCGUAAUGAAAGUGAAAGUUGAGAUCCCUGUCGUGGGGAGCAUCGACGCCCGGACCAGACCUUCUGUGACGGAUCCGCGGUAGAGCAUGUAUGUUGGGACCCGAAAGAUGGUGAACUAUGCCUGAAUAGGGUGAAGCCAGAGGAAACUCUGGUGGAGGCUCGUAGCGAUUCUGACGUGCAAAUCGAUCGUCAAAUUUGGGUAUAGGGGCGAAAGACUAAUCGAACCAUCU
rnacentral:rRNA from 1 species